rnacentral:lncRNA from 1 species
AAUUUUCUAAAUUCACAGACCUCCCUCUUUUAUUGUUUUCAUGCAGCAUUAAAAAUAUUGCAGUUUACCUUCUGAGAUUUUAAACCUCUGUUUCCCUCCUCAUUUUAAUCCAAAUCCUUCAAUGUCUCUGUUGUCCCUGACCCACUCAAUUUUUAUUUUGUUUUAUUUUAUAUUGACAAAGUCCUAAUUUAUCAUGUAAAACAUGAUGUUUUGAAGUAUAUUUACAUUGUGGCAUGACUAAAUCUAGCUAAUUAACAUAUGCAUUACCUCAUAGAGUUAGCGUUUUUGUGCUAAGAACACUUUACAACCAUUCUCUUUGCAUUUUUCAAGAAUAGAAUGUAUCAUUAACUAGAGUCAUCACAUUGUAAAAUAGAUCUCUUGAACUUAUUCUUAUUGCCUAAGUGAAAUUUUAUAUUUUUUGACUAACAUCUCCCCAACUUUCCUGCCUAACCCCAAUCCCCUAGUAACCAUCAUUCUACUCUCUACUUCUAUGAGGUCAACCUUUUAGAUUCCACAUAUGAGUGAGAUAGUGCUAUAUUUCUCUUUCUGUAACCUGGCUUAUUUCACUUAACAUAAUGUACUCUAGGUUUGUUUGACAUGGCACAAUGUUUUGAAUUGGGUGGGAAUCUUUUCCCCCAGUUAGAAAAACAGAUUUAAAUAACUUGUGCUACUGAAAUCAUUUUUACGGAAAAAUGAGAUGUGAAUCAGUUCA